rnacentral:tRNA from 1 species
GGUUGGUAGCUCAGUGGUAGAGCGCUUGCCCAGCAUGCGUGAGGCCCUGGGUUCGAUCCCCAGCACCG